UGUGUGUGUGUGUGUGUGUGUGUGUGUGUGUGUGUGUUGCACCACAGCAGUUAUCUGCUAUCUAACUAGCUCACUGCUGCGGGGUUUCUUUUCUGCACUCUGCUGAGCUCCCAGACAGCAAGAGGUUGUGAAAAGGCUGGCAAGGAGGCGGCAGCAAUCAUAUAAGAAGGAAGCCACUCCUAUUGGAUCCAGAUGUGAGCGGAAGGACAGACAACAGCUCGACUGAAAGCCACCGGACAUGAUGUGGCAGACAAUAGAGGCCGUGGACAGCUGUUAAUCUAGUAACAUCUGGCUCCGUCAACCCACAUUUUUCUCUCCCAUAGUGAAUGGAUACGGACUAUUCUCAGAAAUGACAUGGUGAUCCCUUGAUCCACUCUUGCAUCAGAUAUGUCUGGCAUGAGAUAGCUGAAGCUAGCACAGACGUGUGCACACACACACACACACACAAGCAUCAUUUGCGGUUAUGGGGCAUGGGACAUGAGGUCUGAACAGGAGCCAUUGUAGACUG